ACCAAUCAGGAACAAGCAGAGAAGAUACAGAGGAUCAGUUACAUAAGCAUAAAAUGGGUAAAAAAUGUGACCAGUAAGGACCAAACAAGUGUGGACAUUCAAACAAAAGACAUACAAGGUAGGGAGAUUCAAUUAAAAUUACACGGAUAGGCUGGGAUUUUUGGAAUCAACUAAUAUAAUAGUCUUUGAUGAAAAAUAAUGUUCAAAAUUUCUGUCUAAGUAUUGUAUCAGUGACUUAAAUUUUAACUGUGCUGUUUAAAAAUACUAAAAAACAAAUUUACUUUUGCAAUUUCCUUUUUUUUUUCUCCCAUUCCAAUAACAAUAAAGGUUUCAGGCAUAUUGUUCUUCUGUUCACACUGAAACUGAUGGAAAAAUCCUUCAUCUGUCUUGUACUAGCAGAGGUCGGCUUGUGGUGGCAGGAGGCUAAGUGGGGCAUUCUACUCAUCCUCCUCUCCAGCAAUGUUUUCCAGUUCCUUCUGAAGGAUCCCAAGGCGUUCCAAGGCGUUCCAAGGCCAGAUGAGAUGUAUAAUCCUUCCAGCAAGCUCAGGUCUACCUCAGGGUCUCCUUCUUGGAAAACCUCCAAAGAAAGCCACUCAGGAGGCAUCCUACCCAGAUGCCUGAACCACUUCAGCUGUUUUGACAUGAAGGAACUGAGCUCCCUCUGAAUGUUUGAGCUCCUCGCCCAGUCUCUGAAGCUGAGCCCAGCCAUCCCAUGUAGGAAACCCAUUUUGGCUCUUUGUACCUACGAUGUCAUUUCUUUCAAUCACUAUCCAGAACUCAAGACCAUAGGUGAGGAUUGAAACUGGUAAACUGACAGCUCUCCCUUCAUCCUCAGCUCCCUCUUCACCACCAAGACAGUCUGCUUAAACCUGCACCAAACCAUAUGUCCAACUCACACUCCCAUUUUUCCUAUCACUUCUGAAAAAGAUCCCAAGACACUUAGGCAUUAAUUUUAACCAUUCUUUGGUAGAACGACUUCUGUGCUUAUGGUCACUGUCUUGCUGUGUGACCCACUUUCUCCACAGAUUGAGUUCAUGACAUGUUUCUGUAAAAAUUGCUGGUAUAACUCAUGAUGAUGGUGAGGUAUCCUGGCCCAGAUGCAGCAAAAAUAGUCCCAAACAAUGAUACCACCACCAUGAUUUAUAAAUAAGGCCCUUUAUGCCAGAAUAUAGUGCUUUCCUUUCUUUUUCUCUCUUAUUGCUUCUCAUGUAAACCAAAAGUUCCAUUUUGGUUUAAUCCAUCCAUAAGACACUUUCCAAAGUCCUUCAUGCUUGAUCUUUAGAAUACUGCAAAUGCUGUGUUUGAAGAUUAGUUACUAUCUUCUCGCAACCCUGCCAUUGUUGAUCAACAUUUUCCUGAUGGUGGACUGAAGAAACAUGAACAUUAGCUAAUGUAAGAGAGGCCUGCGGUUGCUAGGACGUUACCCUGGGCUCCUUUGUAACCUCAUGGACUAUUACAUGCCUUGCUCUUAGAGUGAUGGUCCUGGGGACGGUAACAAUGAUGUUGAAUUUCCUCCAUUUGUACACAAUCUGUCUGAUUGCGGAUUGGUGAGGUCCAGACUGUAGAGAUGGUUUCUAUUCUUUUUUUUCCCAGCCUGAUAGAAUCAGAAAUUCUUUUUCUAAGGUGCUUAGAAAUCUUCUUUGUUAGUGUCAUAAUACACUUCCAGACAUGUGUUGCUAAGACCAGAAUAUGGUCGAUGCCUGUUCUUUAAAAAAAGACAGGCUGUCCAUUCACACCUGAUUGCCAUCCCACUGACGGGAGACACCUGACUCUAAUUUCACCUUAAAAUUGGGUGACAAUCUGAGAGUAUCACAUAGUUUGGCUACUUGCAGAUACUGUGUGUAAUAUUGGAUAAUUUUCUUCAAUAAAGAAAUGAACAUGUAUACUAA